GAUACGGUGGGCACUAUUCUCUCUUCCUAACACCCCUACAAAUAAUUUAUAUAUGAAGGUUCUCCAACGCCAACCUUGUAUUCAUAUAUCUAAAAACAGAAGAAAUCUGGUGAAGCCAAACAUGUCAAAGCUAACCACCCUUUUGACAGCUCUCCUUCUUCUCACCUUUAUGCUAUCCUAUUCUGCCACCGCCCGUCCGGACCCAACUCAACUUAAGGUGGUAGAGGCUGCAGGGAACGCCGUGGAUGGAGAAGAGAGCUGUGAAGGAGUUGGGAAAGAGGGAUGCUUGAAGAGAAAGACCCUCGAAGCUCAUCUGGAUUAUAUUUAUACGCAGGAUCAUACUCACCCAUGAAUUGUUCAGCAAAAUAUAUGAAAUAAUUGUAUUCGAUUGCCGUCUGUUGGUGGGUGACAGUAAAAAAAUAAAGAUAUAUAUUUGUCUCUUUGUUUUAUAUAUUUUAUAAGCAUGUUCAUGGCUUCAUGUCCAUGGAUUUGGUGCCA